UCUCGGAGCACCAAGAGGAAUGAAUGGCCACCGUGGUGUCAGAAUUGUCCUGCUGGAAAGGACCUCUGGUGAUCGUGUAGUCCAGGUUCCCUGCAGUAUGUUGCACAGGAAAGUGUCCAGGAUGAAGAUUUAUGGUCCAAAUAUUCUCUCUGGAUAUAAAAGCAACCCUGCAAUUGGACAACCCUUAUAGUUCUUACUGUACACUUUUGACAUUUCCUUUUCAAAAUGUAGGAUCCAGAACAGUGCCCAGUAUUGAGGUGUUGUUAUCUCAUGGGCAUGUAUACUGGAAACAUUGGAUGGUUCCUGUUUCUGUAUCUGUUCAUCAUAGAAUGUGCUUAACAUUCUCUUUGCAUCUGAGCUGACGGUUUGACAGAUCUGUCAAAUGGAUAAACAUUUCAUCUUAGAUAUAAAUAGAUAAAUUAGAGCUCACCAGUAUUUAUAAACUUAAAACUACUUUUAUUACAAUAUUAAUUUAUUUGCAUUUAUAUGUUCAAGAAUAUUAAUUUGCUUUUAUCAAUUUUAA